GCCAGGCGUGGUGGCGCACGCCUGUAAUCCCAGCUACUCAGGAGGCUGAGGCAGGAGAAUUGCUUGAACCCAGGAGGCAGAGGUUGCAGUGAGCCAAGAUCGUGCCAGUGCACUCCAGCCUGGGUGACACAGUGAGACUCUGUUUCAA
rnacentral:SRP_RNA from 1 species